rnacentral:rRNA from 1 species
GUCCACGCCGUAAACGAUGGGCACUAGGUGUUCGGGUAUUGACCCCUGAGUGCCGCAGCUAACGCAUUAAGUGCCCCGCCUGGGGACUACGGCCGCAAGGUUAAACUCAAAGGAAUUGACGGGGCCCGCACAAGCGGUGGAGCAUGUGGUUCAAUUCGACGCAACGCGAAGAACCUUACCUGGGCUAGACAACAUCGGACAGCUCUAGAAUAGGGUCUUCCCGCAAGGGACCGGUGGUUCAGGUGCUGCAUGGCUGUCGU